rnacentral:rRNA from 1 species
GACGAACGCUGGCGGCGUGCCUAAUACAUGCCAGUCGAACGCUUCUUUCCUCCCUAGUGCUUGCACUCAAUUGGAAAGAGGAGUUGCGGACGGGUGAGUAACACGUGGGUAACCUACCCAGCAGAGGGGGAUAACACUUGGAAACAGGUGCUAAUACCGCAUAACAGUUUAUGCCGCAUGGCAUAAGAGUGAAAGGCGCUUUCGGGCGUCGCUGAUGGAUGGACCCGCGGUGCAUUAGCUAGUUGGUGAGGUAACGGCUCACCAAGGCCACGAUGCAUAGCCGACCUGAGAGGGUGAUCGGCCACACUGGGACUGAGACACGGCCCAGACUCCUACGGGAGGCAGCAGUAGGGAAUCUUCGGCAAUGGACGAAAGUCUGACCGAGCAACGCCGCGUGAGUGAAGAAGGUUUUCGGAUCGUAAAACUCUGUUGUUAGAGAAGAACAAGGACGUUAGUAACUGAACGUCCCCUGACGGUAUCUAAACAGAAAGCCACGGCUAACUACGUG